UGUAGGCUUAGCUUGGAAGGGGAAGGAGAGAGGACCCCUUCAUGAGGCAGGGGAGGGAUGAUGUCAGGACAGGGUUGCAGGCUUCCCCCCCACCCCACUGCCGGCUUGGCCUCCUUCACCUCUGCCCCAGCUGAACUCUCACUGGCAGCCAAGGUCUUUGUCUUGAUAAGAAGGAAUCGAAACUAUUGCACUUCCACUUACUGGAAUUCACAGCUUUCUAAAAAACACAGGAGGGUAUGGCCACUCCAGAACAAUGACUCUCCUGGGAGCCCUAAAGUAAAUACAGCCAGCAAGGAAGUUGGGGGGGGGGGGCAGGAAACAUCUAGCAUAGUGAUACUCAGACUUUGGUGAGCCUGGAAUCUCUCCCAGGGCCUGGGCUUGGGAAGUUUAGAGGAGCAGAGUCCCUCUUCCUCGACCGUGAACGCUCCCCAGGAAAGGAGCCAGUGUUUACCGACGCCAAAUUGCCAUCUGCCUGGCACGGGGCCAGGGAUUUUUACGUCUGUCAUCUCUGGCCAAGCUCCCGGCAGCCCUUGCUGUGCUGAAUAAUCGAUGAAGAAUCAGAGAAGCGCCCAGCACCGCACAUGACACGAACAGCCAAAGACAGCACUCGGCGCCAUCUUCCGGGCACAGGUGCUCAGCAAAUGUCUGACUUGGGACGUUCCUCGGCUUUUGCGGAGAGGAAACUCUGGAGUCAAAGCCGUUGGCUGAGUCCUGGACGAGCCACCUUCCAGCUGUGUCAUCUUGGGUGAGUAGUUUAACCUCUCAGGGCCUCAGUUUCCUCGGCUGAAACACCACAAUUCCCGCCUCGUGGUGGUGUUGUCAGGGCUAGAUUAAGGGAAGAGGAUAUAUGAAGAGUACCUCCCUGGCUCAGAGGCCUCACGAAU